rnacentral:rRNA from 1 species
AAAUACCUACGGGACGCAGCAGUGGGGGAUAUUGCACAAUGGGGGGAACCCUGAUGCAGCGACGCCGCGUGAAGGAAGAAGUAUCUCGGUAUGUAAACUUCUAUCAGCAGGGAAGAAAAUGACGGUACCUGACUAAGAAGCCCCGGCUAACUACGUGCCAGCAGCCGCGGUAAUACGUAGGGGGCAAGCGUUAUCCGGAUUUACUGGGUGUAAAGGGAGCGUAGGCGGCAGUGCAAGUCAGAAGUGAAAGCCCGGGGCUCAACUCCGGGACUGCAUUGGGAACUACCGGGCUGGAGUGCCGGAGG